rnacentral:lncRNA from 1 species
AAUAGAAAUAUUAUUUCUAUUAUUAUUUUUUUAAUAUUAUUACUUAAGUCAUGAAUUUAUUCCGACUUGUCAAGAUAAUUAGAUCUACGAAUUUAUUUUAGAUUUAUUUUAUAGUCUAUCGAUAUUAGCAAGCGAGCAAUCAAGUAUCGAGCUGAUACAUAAAAACGCAUUACAUAUUACAGAUUUAUAAUUUCCAAGACACAAGGAUUCCAUUUCAUUUGUCACACCACAACUUUUACAAUCUAUCUUUUCCAAUUAUCACACAAGUUCCUAGCCCACAAUUCUAAAACACCAUCUGCUAACACAGAGAAAAAAAAAAGAAAAAAAAAAGGGGGGAUAGGAAGCUUGUGUGUGUGAAGCUGCUACAGCUACAGCUACAGCCGCACCCCCCCUUCAAUCCCCUUCUCCCUACACCCUACCUCCUCCUUAGCACACUCAUUCCCCCAAUCCCCUUCACUCUACCUCUGUAUCUAUUCUAUAGCACACUCAAAUCUACACCCAACAUUCCUCCUUUUAGCCUCAAACUUCAUCCAGC